rnacentral:lncRNA from 1 species
AUCGGCAGCCGCGCCUGACGCUGCCACCAUGUAAGGGAGAAACCCACCCCUGUAGGAGGCAGGGCGAGCCCGGGGGGCGGCAGCGGCGCCACCCCCGGGGGGAGGAGCGGGGUCGGAGCCGCACAAAACGGCACCGAGCCCCGGAAGUGCGCUGGCAUUCGACUUCCGACUCUGAGUCCAGCAGCAGCUCCGGCAGCUCGGAAGAGCUGUCGGGAGCCGGCUGGGACUCUGAGACAAAGAGAAUAGAGCCAAUGCAAUUUAAAACAAAACCAAGUAAAGCUUUAAGCCGCACCGAAAAGCAUCCACAAUACGAACCAGCCCAGUUUACCGACUGGGGAGAAAUAAAAAUAGCCUGCGCUGAAUGGUCCCCAGCUGGCAUGGCAGCCCGCCGCGGCACCUCCACCCCAAACACGCCCGAGAGGAGCCUGUUUGGGGCUGCGGGAGGAAGGGGCAUCUGGCCAAGGAAUGCAGGUCCCAGCCCCAGGGAAACGGGAGAGGGAGGGGGCGUGCGGGCCGCACUCAGCCUCCUCCCGCCGCGAAUGCAAGGCAGCCCAUCUAUGCCAACCCCCAGUGGGACGGGGCGCCCUUAUACCCCAUACCCACACAGGAGGCAGCCAGCUUCGUACCCUCACCAGCGAAUUUCGCAACACAGCCUGCGGUACCUUCGUACCCACUACCGCCGCAAGCAGCGGCGUGCCGCAGGGUCAGCAGGGGACGCCCCAGAACGGGACCCCUGGGUGGCCCUGGCCAUGAAAAUAGGGAAGGAGCCCCUGGUGCUAUGGGGGACGUGCCGCCUUUAUGGCAGUCAGGACCCCCAUGUCAUAGGGCUUCAGUUUUGGGCAGACACAGGAGCAGACUGCUCGAUUUUUCCCCAAGCGCUGUGGCCCCGACACUGGCAAUGCAAAGAAGUCCCCUCCAGUGAACGGAGUGGGAGGGCUGUCCCGAGCUUGGAAAAGCACCCAAUUAGUAGCCAUAACGCUUCAUACAAAAAAGGGACCGGAACAAACAGUAGCAAUCCAC